GACAGAGGGUGCAAGCGUUGUUCGGAAUUACUGGGCGUAAAGCGCGUGUAGGCGGCCGGGCAUGUCGGAUGUGAAAUCCCGUGGCUCAACCACGGAAGUGCACCCGAAACUGCCCAGCUUGAGUCUCGGAGAGGAAGGCGGAAUGCUUGGUGUAGAGGUGAAAUUCGUAGAUAUCAGGAGGAACACCGAUGGCGAAGGCAGGUCUCUGGGCUGACACUGACGCUCAUGCACGAAAGCGUGGGGAGCAAACAGG
rnacentral:rRNA from 1 species